rnacentral:rRNA from 1 species
AUUGAACGCUAGCGGGAUGCCUUACACAUGCAAGUCGAACGGCAGCACGGACUUCGGUCUGGUGGCGAGUGGCGAACGGGUGAGUAAUGUAUCGGAACGUGCCCAGUAGCGGGGGAUAACUACGCGAAAGCGUAGCUAAUACCGCAUACGCCCUUCGGGGGAAAGCAGGGGAUCGCAAGACCUUGCACUAUUGGACGGGCCGAUAUCAGAUUAGGUAGUUGGUGGGGUAAAGGCCCACCAAACCAACGAUCUGUAGCUGGUCUGAGAGGACGACCAGCCACACUGGAACUGAGACACGGUCCAGACUCCUACGGGAGGCAGCAGUGGGGAAUUUUGGACAAUGGGCGAAAGCCUGAUCCAGCCAUUCCGCGUGCAGGAUGAAGGCCCUCGGGUUGUAAACUGCUUUUGUACAGAACGAAAAGGUUUCUACUAAUACUAGGAGCUCAUGACGGUACUGUAAGAAUAAGCACCGGCUAACUACGUGCCAGCAGCCGCGGUAA